AUUGAACGCUGGCGGCAUGCCUUACACAUGCAAGUCGAACGGUAACAGGUUAAGCUGACGAGUGGCGAACGGGUGAGUAAUGUAUCGGAACGUGCCCAGUUGUGGGGGAUAACUGCUCGAAAGAGCAGCUAAUACCGCAUACGACCUGAGGGUGAAAGCGGGGGAUCGCAAGACCUCGCGCAAUUGGAGCGGCCGAUAUCAGAUUAGGUAGUUGGUGGGGUAAAGGCUCACCAAGCCGACGAUCUGUAGCUGGUCUGAGAGGACGACCAGCCACACUGGGACUGAGACACAACCCAGACUCCUACGGGAGGCAGCAGUGGGGAAUUUUGGACAAUGGGCGCAAGCCUGAUCCAGCCAUGCCGCGUGCGGGAAGAAGGCCUUCGGGUUGUAAACCGCUUUUGUCAGGGAAGAAACGCUCUGGGUUAAUACCCUGGGGUAAUGACGGUACCUGAAGAAUAAGCACCGGCUAACUACGUGCCAGCCGCCGCAGUAA
rnacentral:rRNA from 1 species